rfam:Schistosoma rodhaini strain Burundi genome assembly, scaffold: SROB_scaffold0000457
AUCCAGUUGACGAGUCCCAAAUAGGACGAAACGUGCGUCCUGAAU